UAGUCUUUUAUCAAUCAAUGGGAAUGACACACAGCUUAGAGAAGAUUGUCCAAAAAGAGGAUUGUCCCAAGAGCUGCCCAUGUUAUCAGAAGAUGUAGACUGGGAAAUUUUUCAAGUGGGCAGAAAAGAGAUGAGGAAACUGAGUCUGAGAAGGAGGAAAAUGGAUAUCCAAGGAAAGAGAGGACUUUCAAGCAUUCUUGAUGAAAAGACCAAAGCUGAAGAGAAAAUUUGAUUUUCA